rnacentral:rRNA from 1 species
UUAAACUAGGGAUUAGAUACCCUAUUAUUAAAAUUUAAAUUUAAAAUACUAAAAAAGUAUAUAAUUAUUUAUUGAAACUUAAAUAAUUUGGCGGUAUUUUAGUUCAUUUAGAGGAAUCUGUUUAAUAAUUGAUAAUCCACGAAUAAAUUUACUUAAUUUUUUUAUUUUGUAUAUCGUUGUUAUAAAAAUAUUUUUUAAUAAUAAUAAUAUUUUAAAAUUUUAAUUAAAAAUUAAAUCAGAUCAAGAUGCAGAUUAUAAUUAAGAAUAUAAUGGAUUACAAUAAAUUUAUUUAAAUGAAUAUUAAUUUGUAAAAUUUAAUUGAAGGUGGAUUUAAAUGUAA